UGGGGAAUAUUGGACAAUGGGCGAAAGCCUGAUCCAGCCAUGCCGCGUGUGUGAAGAAGGUCUUCGGAUUGUAAAGCACUUUAAGUUGGGAGGAAGGGCAGUAAGUUAAUACCUUGCUGUUUUGACGUUACCAACAGAAUAAGCACCGGCUAACUUCGUGCCAGCAGCCGCGGUAAUACGAAGGGUGCAAGCGUUAAUCGGAAUUACUGGGCGUAAAGCGCGCGUAGGUGGUUCGGUAAGAUGGAUGUGAAAUCCCCGGGCUCAACCUGGGAACUGCAUCCAUAACUGCCUGACUAGAGUACGGUAGAGGGUGGUGGAAUUUCCUGUGUAGCGGUGAAAUGCGUAGAUAUAGGAAGGAACACCAGUGGCGAAGGCGACCACCUGGACUGAUACUGACACUGAGGUGCGAAAGCGUGGGGAGCAAAC
rnacentral:rRNA from 1 species